AGAGCGAACGCUGGCGGCAGGCUUAACACAUGCAAGUCGAGCGGGCGUAGCAAUACGUCAGCGGCAGACGGGUGAGUAACGCGUGGGAACGUACCUUUUGGUUCGGAACAACCCAGGGAAACUUGGGCUAAAUACCGGAUAAGCCCUUACGGGGAAAGAUUUAUCGCCGAAAGAUCGGCCCGCGUCUGAUUAGCUAGUUGGUGAGGUAAUGGCUCACCAAGGCGACGAUCAGUAGCUGGUCUGAGAGGAUGAUCAGCCACAUUGGGACUGAGACACGGCCCAAACUCCUACGGGAGGCAGCAGUGGGGAAUAUUGGACAAUGGGCGCAAGCCUGAUCCAGCCAUGCCGCGUGAGUGAUGAAGGCCCUAGGGUUGUAAAGCUCUUUUGUGCGGGAAGAUAAUGACGGUACCGCAAGAAUAAGCCCGGCUAACUUCGCGCCAGCAGCCGC
rnacentral:rRNA from 1 species